CUGGCCUAAAACUCAAUCUUACCAUAGAAGAUAUGGUUGUUUAAAAUUUGCCCUUUGCAGCUGGGUGCCGGUGGAUCACGCCUGUAAUCCCAGCACUUUGGGAGGCUGAGGCGGGUGGAUCACGAGGUCAGGAGAUCGAGACCAUCCUGGCUAACACGGUGAAACCCCAUCUCUACUAAAAAUACAAAAAAUUAGCUGGGUGUGGUGGCACUCGCCUGUAGUCUCAGCUACUUGGGAGGGGGAGGCAGGAGAAUCACUUGAACCCGCAAGGUGGAGGUUGCAGUGAGCCAACAUGGCGCCACUGCACUCCAGCCUGGGUGACAGAGUGAUCCGUUUCAAAAAACAAACAAAAAAAAUAUGCCCUUUGCAAUACUGAACAUUUUAGACGUAAAGGAUUUAUUAGCACCUGAGUCAAGUGGAUAACUAAACUCAAAGCCUAAUGAGCUGAUCCUCUAUUUUCUGUUUAAG
rnacentral:lncRNA from 1 species